rnacentral:lncRNA from 1 species
UUAAGAUGAAUUGUAGUAUGUUAAUUCAAUUACAGAUAACUGCAGUAAUACAUAUCAAUUUAAUAUUGUUCAUAUUUAAUUCAAUUAAUUAUUUAAUUAUUAAUAUUAAAAAAUAUAUAUUGGGGAAUAUUGUGUUACCCUUUGAGCUGCCUUAUAAAUCAAUAAAUGAAAAACUACAACAGCAACAUCUCUGAGCAGCCCUCAGGCUCAAAAGUAUCGUUCUUAAUUGAUGGCCCCGCCCCCUGACCUCCAGCUGCACUCAGCGCGUGAUUGUGUUCAAGAUGAGUGAGCGGAGCAGUGUCCUGGAGCGCUUCAAGAGAAGACUGGAGCGACUGAGAGCUCAUCAUAAUCGAUGCGCAGCCUUUACAGUGCAGUCAAAAGAUAUGGAAGAUGAGGAGCCAGAGAGUGAUUCCUUUGAAUCUGAAGUGUCCAGCUGUUCUGGAUUAGAUCCAGAUUCCAAUCCAGAUUCCAAGAUUGCAUCAUCAUGCAGUGAAGAUUCGAGUCCAGUCAAAGAUGCAUCAUAUAAGAGUCUGUCCAGUGAAGAGGAACUUGAAGGACCAGACAGAAGUCUGAGUGAGGAAGAUCAGAUAAGAGGUAAAUGCACCAUUAAAGAACAAAACAAACCCAUAACUUAUGUGAAAAGACACAAGAAACACCACAAGAAAAUCAAAGCAAAUAAAGACAAAUCAGCUGUGACUCUAAAAACGUGUACUAAAAGGGAAAACUGUAAACGAGCAUGGGACAAAAAACAUUAUUGCCUUUAAUGUAGCCAGGCACAAUCAAAGAUUUCAAGGCAUUUGGAGAGAAAGCAUAUAGAAGUCAAAGAUGUGGCAUAUGCCUUCAGCUUUCCAUUAAGAUCGAAAGAAAGAAAGACACUUCUGGAACAGCUGCGCAAUAAAGGAGACUUUAAACAUAAUGCAGAAGUUCUGGAGAAAGGCAGAGGACAAAUAGUUACAUGGAAGCAGCCCUCUGAAAAAGCUUCUGUAAAGGAUUACUUGCCUUGCCCAUAUUGUUUCGGCAGGUUCAGGAAAAAGGACCUGUGGAGACAUCAGUCCUCAUGCAAAACCAAGAAGUCAUGCAUGAAAAGUGAGACAAAAAGUACAUGAGGGAGAGUACAGAGUCGUGCUGCAUGCCUGCUUCCAAUAUCAGCCUCCCCCGAUGGAUGUCAGUCGAUCAUCAACAACAUGCGACAGGACGAUGUGUCAUUUCACAUCAGAAGGGAUUCCCUGAUUUGCAAGUA